rnacentral:rRNA from 1 species
UACGUAGGGUGCAAGCGUUGUCCGGAAUUAUUGGGCGUAAAGAGCUCGUAGGCGGUUUGUCGCGUCUGCUGUGAAAACUCGGGGCUUAACCCCGGGCCUGCAGUGGGUACGGGCAGACUAGAGUGCGGUAGGGGAGACUGGAAUUCCUGGUGUAGCGGUGAAAUGCGCAGAUAUCAGGAGGAACACCGGUGGCGAAGGCGGGUCUCUGGGCCGUAACUGACGCUGAGGAGCGAAAGCGUGGGGAGCGAAUAGG